rnacentral:tRNA from 1 species
UUCCUGGUGGCUCAGAUGGUACAGAAUCUGUCUGCAAUGCAGGAGACCUGGGUUUGAUCCCUGGCUUGGGAA